GUGACAACUGCUUUGAAACUGAAGAAGAUACAGAAUCAACAGUUUUUAGUUAUGUUGGAGAUUUUAAUGGUCAUAGAUCAGUUUUAGACUUGUCUUUUGACCAAUUUUAUUCACUUGAAAUGUAUCCAGCUUUAUCUGAAACUUUCGGUCAAUUAUACAAAACUUCUUCAGUUUGUAGUGAAACUAGUGUUGAUUUUGUGGUAAAUAAAGCUCUACCGAAU